rnacentral:rRNA from 1 species
GACGAACGCUGGCGGCGUGCCUAAUACAUGCAAGUAGAACGCUGAAGAGAGGAGCUUGCUCUUCUUGGAUGAGUUGCGAACGGGUGAGUAACGCGUAGGUAACCUGCCUUGUAGCGGGGGAUAACUAUUGGAAACGAUAGCUAAUACCGCAUAACAAUGGAUGACCCAUGUCAUUUAUUUGAAAGGGGCAAAUGCUCCACUACAAGAUGGACCUGCGUUGUAUUGGCUAGUAGGGAGGUAACGGCUCACCUAGGCGACGAUACAUAGCCGACCUGAGAGGGUGAUCGGCCACACUGGGACUGAGACACGGCCCAGACUCCUACGGGAGGCAGCAGUAGGGAAUCUUCGGCAAUGGGGGCAACCCUGACCGAGCAACGCCGCGUGAGUGAAGAAGGUUUUCGGAUCGUAAAGCUCUGUUGUAAGUCAAGAACGAGUGUGAGAGUGGAAAGUUCACACUGUGACGGUAGCUUACCAGAAAGGGACGGCUAACUACGUG